rnacentral:rRNA from 1 species
UACAGAGGUCCCAAGCGUUGUUCGGAUUCACUGGGCGUAAAGGGUGCGUAGGUGGCCAGGUAAGUUUGAUGUGAAAGCUCGGAGCUUAACUCCGAAAUGGCAUUGAAUACUAUCUGGCUUGAGGGUCGGAGGGGAGACUGGAAUUCUCGGUGUAGCAGUGAAAUGCGUAGAUAUCGAGAGGAACACCAGUGGCGAAGGCGGGUCUCUGGACAGUUCCUGACGCUGAGGCACGAAGGCCAGGGGAGCAAACGGG